rnacentral:tRNA from 1 species
AGCAGGUCAAAGAUGGUGCGCGCCGUGGACUGUAAAUCCGUCGCGAAAGCUUCGAAGGUUCGAAUCCUUCACCCGCCACCA